UUAGAAUUGCAGCCCAUUUUACGACUCUGUUAUGUGUAUAUUUUUGCAAAAUUGCAGUUCGCAGCUUUCCGCUGUUUACAGUAAGCAACAGAAACUAUCUACAGCACAAAUGGUUUUACGAUAUUGUAUCCUUUCGUAAGGUUCAGCUUCAGUGUUUGACAAUAAAUAUCAAGAAGAAUUAAAUAACGUAAGAUCCUGAAUAACUAAGAAUCCAGUCUGUUGGUAUUGUAUCAUCAUCAUCAGCCAUUUAAACGUCCCCACUGCUGGAGCACAGGCUUUCCUUAGGGAUGGAUAAGGAUUAUGGACCAUGACCCACCACGCGGACCCAUUUAAUUCAGCCUACAAGCAGACAAAAUUUUGAUGUGGUUGCAGUUUUACAACCGGUCGCUCUGCCUGACGUAAACCCUUCUUGGGAAUGCUGUUGUUACCUAUCAGUUUCCUAGACGGUGUCCCUUGGUCGCCUCUUACGAAAUCCAAGGUAUUAAAAUCACCGUAUUUUUACUCAUCGUAGAUGAAGACUGAAAAGAAAAUUAUUUUUAAAUUGGGUAAUAGAAGAGGCCAUUUUUAACAGUUCCGAAACUUUUGAUAAAAUUUAUAUUAAAACAAAAUUUACGUGGUCUGAUUUCGCUCAACUCCUGCAAAAUAAUUUUUCGUGUUCCAUUUUUACUUGUCUGUUAACUUGGUCAAUAAGUAAGAAAACUUUGCCAAAGCUGGUAACACAACAGUUACAACUUUCGAAGUUCACCCUUUGUUAUCAUUUCUCGUCAUAGCUUGAGCCUGAUAUGAAUAAUUCAACGUUUCUCUUCGUUGGCUCCCGAACUAACGUGCGUAGCAAAAUAGCAGGACCACGAGAUUGUAAUCUUGCGGAUAAUCACUCAUCUUUCUUUCUCUCCAACCAUAGACCAACACUGUUUAAAUGAGUUUCAGUCGGCAUUUAUUUUCCGCAGUGGUCGUUCCGAAAUGCUUAUAAUUUCUAGCUUUUUGGGUAAUUACUAUAUAAUAUGGAAUUUAGCGUGCCUGUGAAAGUCUAAUUUCUGAAUAAAUUUGACAUCUGAUUCCCACUUUACUCACACUCAUGUACAAUCAACCGCAUUCCA